CGAGAACUCAAUUGGACUUGCCACAUCCAAAAACUGGAGGUGAGAAAACUAAUAUUAAAGCCUUACGAGGUUCCGAUCGGCAUUCCGGGUGAUGAAUGUCUAUCGGGACAUCGCGGCGGUUGUCACGAGUUCGAGGAGAGUACCGGGUCGUGACAGCCAACUCAACCCAAAGCCCCCUUUCAAGCUCCCAAGACCCCAUUUUACAAGGAUUCAACCUUCCAAACUCCAAUCUAAGGUUGUGUUGAGCUCAUGAAUCAUAGAACGGGUGAGGUUUGACGAAGUAAGGCUUAGAAGCAUGCUUUUGUAAAGGUGAGUGAAUAUACCACUUUCAAGCUAUUUUAGUAUGUAAAGCUAAAAGCAUGAUUUCAAUGAUUUGAAGGUGAAUAUGUUUUAUCAAUACUAUUUGUUAAUGCAAAUGAGUUGUGAUU
rnacentral:sRNA from 1 species